GGACCUGACUGCUAUCGGAUUGAUACUAAGCCAUGCGAGUCAUUGUAGUAAUACAAGGCAGACGGCUCAGUAACGCGUAGUCAACCUACCCUAUGGACGGGGAUAACCUCGGGAAACUGAGAAUAAUACCCGAUAGAACAUUAUGCCUGGAAUGGUUUAUGUUUCAAAUAAUUUAUUGCCGUAGGAUGGGACUGCGGCCUAUCAGUUUGUUGGUGAGGUAAUGGCCCACCAAGACUAUUACAGGUACGGGCUCUGAGAGGAGUAGCCCGGAGAUGGGUACUGAGACACGGACCCAGGCCCUAUGGGGCGCAGCAGGCGAGAAAACUUUGCAAUGUGCGAAAGCACGACAAGGUUAAUCCGAGUGGUUUCUGCUAAAGGAACCUUUUGUCAGUCCUAGAAACACUGAUGAAUAAGGGGUGGGCUAGUUCUGGUGUCGGCG
rnacentral:rRNA from 1 species